ACAUUUAAUGAACAGCUUUAAAAUGUUUAUGAUCAAUUGCAAAUGAGCAAUGACAUGACAAAUGCCAAACUGUUUAUUUCAAGUAACAAAUUAUCUUCAUCAUUUACUUUCGCAUUCAACUGAAAUUCAAGGACAAGUUCUGUUUCCUGUUUCUGGAAAUACACAUUUGACAUGCGCAAUGCAGACAUAUUACGUAAUCGGCAGUUUCAGUUUCCACAAAAUCAUUUACUUCCUCGCCCGGCACGAAGAAACUACUUGCAAUUCAAAGGAGCAGAAAUGGCCAGUAGUAGUAAUGCUAAGUUCGGCAAAGAUUGGACGUACAAGAUUUACUUUGACAGUGAGGCUGACAGAACAUACGCUGGUAAAAACUACGAAAUUGAUCAUGAAUAUCUAAUUGAUGAUCUGUCAUCACGUGUUUAUAAAGAGGAAAAGAUAACAAGGGUACAUGCCUACAAACAUCGGCUCAGUGCAGUGCAGAUAACUGAUUACGUUCUACAUCAUAUGUACGUAAUAUUUGAAACACAACGUUCUUAUUGGUCAAUUGAAAAGAACUCAUCAGGAAUUACGAUCCAAAGAAGCCAAUAUCUUGAUGCUGUGCUAAAAAGGUACAGGCAGUCUAAUCGAGUGCGUGGAAUGACACUGGUUGCGACUGAUAAUGGGAGACGCGGAAUCUUUGAUUUGAUAAAGUGGCUGCAUGAUUCACAAGAGCUGAAAAAGGAGUAUAACGUUUUAAGCAGUAAUUGUCAGCAGUUUGCAAAGGCUGUUUUUGACUACGUCGCAGAAACAAAAACAUUGCAAAUAGCUACUUGAAUGGUACAAAAGGCAAUAAAAAAAGAAAAAAAAAAAAAGAAAAAAGAAAAAAAAAACGCAUAAAAAGAAUAGUUAAAUGAUGCAAAAAAUACUUAAUUAUUUUAUAAAAUCUAGUGCAUUUAUUCCGAGAUAACCGAUAUCAAACAUAAAGUUAUAUUUUGUUAACAUGCUAACUAGACAUGGGCGUAGGAGCGAGUUUAACUUUGGGGGGGGGGGAGGGCAAACCUUUUCGGCCGGCGGGGGGGGGGGGGGGGGGGGGGGGCAGGCAGCAAGGUAUCCCUGGUGCAUUAUUCAUGACAAAGCCUCAAAGCCUUGUACAGGGGCCAAAUGGGCGGCAAGGUAUCCCCGUUGCAUUAUUCAUGACAAAGCCUCUGGGGCCAAAUGGGCCAUAGGCCCCCUCAAGCCUCUAUGUUUUACAAACAGAUGUUAUGACAGCCGAAAUUAAAAAACACCAAUACACCACGGGGGGCUAAAAGUGUCCUGUUGCAACAAAACAUACAUGAUUAUUUUGCCAAAAAUGUGUGCUAUGCGCGUCUACGUCAAAUGCUUUUAGGAUGUUCUUGACCUCACAUUCCACAACGCCACAUGUGGCUUACUUAAAAGCAUUUAAAAUGUAGUGACUUCCUCAAAUUUUCAAGUUUAAAAGGAAAAAGGAAUAUUCUUUAUUAAUAUUUUGUUAUUUUAAUUUUGAUUUUUUUGUCGUUAUGCAGGCUUUUUUCAUUGAACGGCCAAAAUAUAUUUUCAAAAUGAAAGAAGAAAAAAACUACAAUCUAUGAUAUGUUCAAAAGUUGCAAUUGAAAAUAUAGAUAUGGCGCAAAAUAAGUCUAAGAGAGUAAAAUUUGUGAAAUAAUAGAAUGUUCUGUGCUGAACCUUUAUAUACUUACCUAAACGAAAGAGAAGAUUCCUGGUUACAAAAAGGUAAUCUAAAAGUAGUUAAAAUAGUUAGGAAAUGUAUACAAUCAUGGGCGUAGGAGCGAGUUUAACUUUGGGGGGGGGGGGGGGGGGGCAAACCUUUUCGGCCGGCCGGGGGGGGGGGGGCAGGCAGCAAGGUAUCCCUGGUGCAUUAUUCAUGACAAAGCCUCAAAGCCUUGUACAGGGGCCAAAUGGGCGGCAAGAUAUCCCCGUUGCAUUAUUCAUGACAAAGCCUCUGGGGCCAAAUGGGCCAUAGGCCCCCUCAAGCCUCUAUGUUUUAGCAAUCAUUGAGUUAUUUUGAUGAUACACAUAUGACUAGGCACUGAACUGUCUUAAUCAGUCAUUUUAUGUAUUGUUCUAAUUAAGUGUGCCAUUUUUUUACAUUCUUCUGUUGAAGCCCUGGACAUACAAUCAAUUAGCACUGCAUUUGUCUAAUUGUGAUAUAAAGUUAUGGAAAUAUCAUUUCCCUUGAAUGGACAAUGAAAAACAAAAAAAUACAUAACGUUUACAUGCGUAAACAGGCUUAAUAGUUAGGCCUACAUAGAUUUUGCAGACGCUCAAACAGGAACUGUAGCGAUUGCGCUCAUUGAUAUAUCAUUGUUAUAAAAUGUAAUCAAACAAUCCUUGGCGUGGCGCGUACAUAUUUCAGUACUGACACUACGGAAAGAGACAAGUCAGAAUACAAGGGAAGGCCAAAUGCAAAUCAGAAAUCAGGUUGAAAAGAACUAUAUGAUGCUAAGUAAAUGUUAGACUACAAGUUAUAUCUCUUUGCUAAAAUAUUGGGGGGGGGGGGGGGCAAACUACUACAGUUUGGCCCCCCUUUCCUAGCUUUGGGGGGGGGGGCCUGGCCCCCGCUGCCCCCCCCCCCCCCCUGCUCCUACGCCUAUGCUAGACGGAACUUCAAAAUGUCCUCGAGAUAGCCGGAAUUUUGAGAUAAGGGAAAUCUAGAUUUAGAGUUUCUACUAUAGUGGCUUUUUUUCCAUUACAGAUUUUUUCUGCUUUUAUUUUACUUAAAUAUGUGCGUUUAAGUCGUUAACAUAUAACAGAUUUUAGCUGUUUGAUUUUUUGCAGUUUUUUUUUUUAAAUUUUAUAUGGGUUUUCUUCUUGUUUUUUUUUCAAAAAUGUAUACUCGACAAAAAAAAGUUCUGCAACAAAACAUGUUUUAUGCUGUAACUUAUUUAUUACUUAACGUACAAGUAUAAUUCAUAUAUCAAAUAAAUGUACAAGUCAGUCUUAACAAAAUACUGAAAACAGAAUGAAAAUUAAAUUACCGGUUUCGGCAAAUUUCAUGUUCAAAGUUACAUAGGGUACCUGAUCAAAAGUUGCACAAUUGCUGAGUGAAUUUCAAUAGUGCGUGUAUCCACCAUUUUGUGCAUUGCAUACAAGCAGACGACUCCUCAUUGAAAACACAAGCCGGCGGAUUUUCUGGUGAUAUUGCAUUUUUUUUUCAGGACGACAAUGCCAGACCACAUCGUGCCUGAAUCGUUGAUGAUUUCUGAACCAACAUGGAGUUCAGCAGAUGCAGUGGCCACCAAUAUCACCAGAUUUGGCAUGCAUUGAACCCUUGUGGGACAUUCUUGGGCGUGGUGUAAAUAAAAGAAUUACAAGACAGACAAGACUUGCCGACCUGCCCAACGUUCUGCAACAGGAGUGGGCUCUCAUUCCACAACGGAAAAUCCGCCGGCUUGUGUUUUCAAUUAGGAGUCGUCUGCUUGAAUGCAAUGCACAAAAUGGUGGAUACACGCACUAUUGAAAUUCACUCAGCAAUUUUGCAUCUUUUGAUCAGAACAUUUGAAUAGUUUUGCUAAACAAUUUCUCUUCGGUCGGAGCAGAAACCAUGGCUCUCAUAUCAUUAGGACACCGGGCACAUUUUUAUGCAAUGUCGCCAGGCAUAUGUUUGUUUUUUUGACAACACAGAAAAGACGUCAUUCGACUGCCAGCUAUUUCCGGAAGUAAAUACAAUGAAAGAAGACGAAUUAAACUUGAAAAUGAAAGUCGCCUUUGCAUUCGUCGGUAGUAAGAGGUCACGUGCAGGGGUCACCACUUCAAAAUGUAUGCCCGUGGACUUCUUAAAAUUUUGCUAAUGGGGAGUCAAUUUUCAGCAUUUUCUAACGAUUUGAAAAUACCCGGGCUUCAGCACGAUAUGUCAGCUUUUCAUCUCAACUCGGAAUAAACACAAAUUCCACAGGGGUCCGAAACGGAGCUAGGGUACCUUGAAAUUUUUGGAACUUCGUCAAAUCACUAAGAAGGUCCUUUUUGAUGUUGCCUAAAAGUGUCAGUAUAUUGAAGUGCUGCAGACCUAAACAUUUCAAAACUAUUAUCAAAAUGAAUUUCUUAUAAUAAAUGUUAAUUCUACGGAAGCGUGAAAGAGCCAUCAGACGCUUAUACGUUUUAUUACGUUACAGGUGCGGAAAGGAUAUAUAUAUAUACAGAUUUCCUAAAAUGAAUUUUUAAUUGCUCUUUUUUGUCUCAAACGUCUGUUUUCGUACAAACGUGUCAAAAAUGUCGGAAAAAAAACAACAACAAAAAACACACUAAUUUUUUAGAAAAAAAGAAGAUUUUCCUAAUAUGGCAAUUGUUAAAGUUUAUCACAAUUUUCAUCGAAGAUUUUAUGAUUUUUUAUAUACAGGAUCAUAUUCUGAUUGUUUUACCAUUAUUCUCUGUUUGAUUGAUUGUUUGUUUGGUGUGACUGUUUGCAGUUGUUUACUUUAUUCCUAAUGUAUGAAGAAGAUGUUUCUAUAAUGUACAUUGUACUUUGUUGAAAUUUAAAGAAAACUUGUUCCUAGUUGCAAAGUGUUUUGUCAUAAUUACGUUUGAAUGUAUUCAAUUUAAAAAUAUUCCAUUCACGGUAUAGCUAUGAAAGAUUUCGAAAAAAAGAUCAUCCCUAUUUCAUAAAAUUUUUGAAAUAUCUUCAAGAACAAAACCAUAUACUAACUUGUAAGGUUAAUACCUAGCUAUAAUUUAGUUCCUGUGUGUGUGUUUUCUUUUUCGAAAGAAUGUAUUCAAACACAACAUUCAUGAUAUAUUUUUGGGGUCAAAAUAACUACUUUUUACCUAGACCACUUUUAUUUUAGUUAUUUUUUUUAAGAAAUUCAAGAAAUGCUAGAUAUUUAAUUAUCAUGGUAAUGGCUAUUUGAUAUAAAUAAGUUCCGCAAUUGUUCUAGUAACUAACUUUCCAAAUAUGAUAAGCUGAGACGUAUAUAUAAUAAAGAAAGCUUUCGUGUGACAUUUAUCAUUUGUUGAAGUAGAAACUUUGAUAUGUUUGACAUAUUCAGUCAAAACUUGCUUUAACCAAAAGUUCAUACGGCAUACCAAAUCAAAUGCUAGGUUAUAAUGUACCGCUUCUGGUUUAAUGAGAUAGUUUGCCAACUGAACCAGAAGUGGCAACAUACCGACAGAUACUUGUAUUGUUUUAGGAGCUGUUUGGAGACUAAUCAGGAGUGAAAUAUUAAGAAGUUAUAAUUACUUUUGUAUUUUUUCUUCUUCAAAAAUCAAAAUCAUUAAACAAUAUUAUAUGGACAACUUGUAUAAUUGAGAUAUAAAUAUAUAACUUAUUCGUGCUUGGUGUCAUCAAAAACUUGUUUCAUUAUUUACACAUUUCAGAGUUUUUGUAUAUAUUUUGCAUAAAACACAGUUGCUUCACCGUGUCUUAUUCGCAAACAAUUUAAUACUGAGGUACAAAAGGCAAAGCGUCGUCAUUGGUAUGACCUUCAAAAGAAUUUGUUGGACGAAUGUAAUGUUGACCAAUCUCGGAUUUGGAAGUCGAUUGGCAAAAUUGGUAUCGGUAAAACUAAUAAAAAAGAAUAUUCCAAACGAGGUUCAUUAGAUGACGGCUCUCUGUCCUCAGAUGGUAAUGAUGUUUUAUUUAAAUGGAAUUCGGAGUUUAUUUAGUUCUCUGUUUUACAAUCCCAACUUAGAUUGUAAUAGAGAUUAUAGUUUUACCAAUACAGACGAUGCUAGCCUUAGUUAUAAUAAUGAUAUAUCUGUUUUUGAAGUAAAGAAUGCUUUUGAAGGUGCAAAACGUGGCAAGGCUAAUGGAAUAGAUGAAAUUCCUACGGAGUCAUCGCAAAAUGAUACAUUGGUUAUGUUUUACAUGCUUUAUUUAAUGUUUGUUUUAAUAAUGGCACUGUGCCCUCUAUAUGGGGAAGAUGUAUUAUUAACCCUAUUUAUAAAUCAGCUAGUUUAGACCCUAGAAACCCUUUAUCAUAUAUAGAGGUAUAUCUUUAUCUUGUUCUGCUUAUAAAUUGCAUUGUUCCAUUUUAAACGAGAGAUUAAGAAAAUGGGCCGAAGAUAGAAGAUAACAAUAUAAUUGUUGAUGAACAAAACGGGUUUCGCAGAAAGAGACGUACCAUCGAUCAUAUUUCUACACUAACAAGCAUCAUUAAUACCAGGAAGAAGAAAAAACAAUCUACAUUUUGUGUUUAAUAGAUUUUAAGAAAACCUAUGAUUAUAAUAAUCGUGAUAUGCUUUGGAAGAAAAUGUUUAAUGUUGGUGUUAAAGGAAAAAUAUUAACGGCUGUACAAUCUUUGUAUACAUCUGUCUCAUCUUCUGUUAAAGUUAAUAUGUUACAUACUGAGUUGUUCCCUGUUAAGUCAGGUUUACGACAGGGAUGUAUCUUAUCACCUUUAUUAUUUAACAUGUUCAUAAAUGAUCUGGCAUUAUGUUUGAAAUCACUUGAUAAAGGUGUAGAAUUUGGAAAUGAAAAAGUUUGUGUUUUAUUGUAUGCUGAUGAUAUUGUAUUGUUAGCACAAAAUGAACAAGAUCUACAACUUCUGUUAAAUGCACUUAAUGAUUGGUGUAGUAUAAAUGAUAUGUGCAUAAAUUGUAACAAAAGUAAGAUUGUGCACUUUCGCCCUGUAUCUGUUUGUAAAACAUCGAUGCAAUUUACAUGUGGUAAUGAUACAUUAAUGGUUGUUGAUAGAUAUUUGUAUCUUGGUUUGGUUCUUCAUGAACAUCUAGAUUAUAAUAUUACGACGAAGGUUAUAGCUCAGUGUGCAAGCCGUGCACUUGCUCUGCUGACUGCGAAAUGUAAAUCAAUUGGUGAGCUUCUGUUUGAUGUUUUUACAAGAAUGUACGAUAGUUCUGUCUGGCCUUCUAUUAGUUAUGGAGCUGUCAUAUGGGGUUACCGUUCUUACUCGUGCAUUAACGCGGUUCAUUAUCGGGCGAUUAGAUUCUUUUUGGGGGUCGGUAGAUAUACUCCAAAUGUUGCAGUCUCGGGUGAAAUGGGAUGGGUACCUCCAGAAAUCCGGCAAUGGAAGUCCAUUUUUUGUAUUGGGCACGACUAUCAACCAUGCAUUAUCAUAGAAUGAAUAAACGUGUUGCACUAUGGGCUAAGUCUUUAGCAUGUAGAUCGUGUAAAAAUUGGUAUUUUAUUGUCAACAAUAUGUUUAAUACAAACGGUUUACAGUAAUAUGUUGAUAUCGAGUCUACAGUACCGAAACAAACUUUGUUAAAUAAAAUUGUGAAUAUAUUAUAUGACAAAUUUAAGGUAGAUUGGUUCCAGUCCUUGAACAGAGUCACGGGUCUUUCUGGUCGAGGCAGGAAUAAAUUGCGUACUUAUCGCCUCUUUAAAGACGAUUUUAGUACGGAAUCUUAUUGCCAAUUUAUCAUGUCGCCGUAUCAUCGUGCUGCAUUUAGUAAUUUCGAUGUGGUGUCGCACCUUUACAUAUCGAAACCGGACGUUAUGAAGGUCUAGAAGUACUUGACCGGAAAUGUCCGUUUUGUGACAAUGUUGAAGACGAGAGUCAUGCCAUGCUUGAUUGUUAUCUGUAUGAUGAUUUAAGACAGUCAUUAUUUGAUAAAGCUGUAAGUGUAAACUAUGACUUUCUUUCUAUGUCUAAUUUAGAUCAAUUAGUAUUUCUAUUCACAAACCAAUUCAUGAUUAGAAAUUGUGCCAAAACCUGCUACAGUAUUUUAAGACGACGUCUUUUAUAUAUUUGUAAAUAAUGCCUUUUCCUCUCUUUAAGCUAUGUAUUCAUUUCAUAUACUUCUAAGAAGUUGUUGCUAAUUAGUUCAUCAGAUCUGAUCGAGGGUGAUAUUUGAUUUUCUAAACUGUUUCUUAUAUGCGCAAUAGUGCUUAUUUUGAAAUUCAGUGUUUUAUCCAAAUUAUUUUGACUUUAUUUUACUGAUAGAUUAGCAACUGCUCCUUAGGUUUAAUCUGUAAUAUAUAUUUGUAAUAUAUAACAUUAUUAUGAACGAUGGUUUUACCUAUGAGAUAUGUGAAAUGAGAGAAAUAUAAAAGUCUCUAAUAUUUCUAAAUCAGAAUGGUUACAUACAUAUGUUUGACAUGUACAUAUUUCUGUUUUGUGUAUUAUUGUAUUGUAUGUAAUUGAGACUAUAACAAAGAAUAAAUAAUUUCGUACUUACAAUUGUUUAAAAUUACUUGCAAUUGAAAGUUCUUCAGAAGCAUAGAAGAUAAAUUAAGAUUGUUUGAUUGAAUUUAUUAAUAAAAAAAAACAAUGGAACGUGCAACACCUCUCGUCCCCUAGCACCGCUUACAGCGGAACUGUAUUAUACAAAAUUUAAUGUUGCAUGAACUUCAUGAUCUCAAAAACCAGAAAAUGUAACAAUACUGAGUAUAUUAAUAAAACCUUUAUAUAAGUAAAGAUGUAUUUCUAAAGUUAAUUUGACAUAUAGCCGGAAACAUCUAGUUUUAAGGUGUGUCAAAAUCAGUAUUAUUAAUUAUUGCCUUUCUAUAUAAGAAUAAAAUAAUAUAACUUGUGGCUUCCUUACUAGCACUCAAUAUUGUUGAAAUUUCUGAUCUUUUUGUCUAACCAUAAUGAAUUACAAUGGGCAAUUUACCUAAAUGUGUAUGCCAGUCAGCAUAAAUUAUUCGAGCACAUGGCUUUCCGAAACAACUGGAGAAGUCCGAUUUGCAUGUGGAUCGGAAAUUGAUGAAUGUCUUUACUUUAUACAAAAUUUCACUGAUUAAGCCGGUGCCACUUGGGAUAGGUGGGUGUGGCACAUUACAUUACCUCUCUUGAACAAACUUAAUCAAAUAUUUACUGUACUUGUACAGAAUUUUCUACAGGAUUUUGUACUUUGAAUAUAUUGUAAUGUUUUGUUGUUUUUGAAGCCUUACCUUGCAUGCCUUAAAUAUAUAUUGCAUAUUAUCAGCUUGUUGAUGAAUCAUGUGUAAAAAUAGUUAGUAUAUCAUAUGCAUACAGUCACUACUUAUGAAUAAAUAUAUACUACACUGUU